rnacentral:rRNA from 1 species
GGCAACGGCCAUACCACGUUGAAAACACCGGUUCUCGUCUGAUCACCGAAGUUAAGCAACGUUGGGUUUGGUUAGUACUUGGAUGGGUGACCCGCCUGGGAAUACCAAAUGCUGUUGUCU